rnacentral:lncRNA from 1 species
GUUGUCUUUCUUUAAUAAUCACCUAUUUAAGUAGUACAAAAUAAUCACUAGAAGAAGUGAUUUAAUUUUACUGUAGCUUUAAAUAUAGAAUACUAAUGAUCCAGGGACUAAUUAUGUUUCUAAACUUAUCAGAACCAACAUCUGUGUUGUCUAGGAUGACCAGGUCAUUUCAGGUGAUGACCUUGUACUGAAUCUAGGAUAAUGACAUAAAAAUCACUUGUUUAAGUAUCAUAUCUCAAUUUCCUUCCCAAAAAUCACUUCUUUAAGUAUCAUUAUUUUAAUAACCCGCACUAAUUUCAACAACCCAAA